rnacentral:rRNA from 1 species
UACGUAUGGGGCAAGCGUUGUUCGGAUUCACUGGGCGUAAAGGGCGUGUAGGUGGCGUGGUAAGUCGGAUGUGAAAUCUCUAGGCUUAACCUGGAAAGUGCAUUCGAUACUACCAUGCUUGAGUACCGGAGAGGGAGACGGAAUUCCUGGUGUAGGGGUGAAAUCUGUAGAUAUCAGGAAGAACACCGGUGGCGAAGGCGGUCUCCUGGCCGGAUACUGACACUGAGGCGCGAAAGCUAGGGGAGCAAACAGGAUUAGAUACCCGCGUA